AGGGUGGGGCUUCCUGUCACAGAGUGUCUGGGCCUUAGCAUGGUUUGUGGGUGAGGCUGAUUGGUUGCAGAAGCAGGAACAGUUCCAGAACCAAGUCAUGACACUCACUGCCCAAGGGUUUAGUUAAAUAUAUGUUGUGAAAAUGUCCCGAGCAACAAGGCAAAGCAUCAUGAAGAGGCUGUUGAGCACUGUGCUGGGGCUUUUGUGCACCCAGGUUUGCUAUGUGAGAGGAGAGCAGGUGGAGCAGAGUCCCCCAACCCUGAGUCUCCAGGAGGGAGCCAAUUCCACACUGCGGUGCAAUUUUUCCACCUCUGGGAGCAACUUGCAGUGGUUUCGCCAAAAUCCUGGGGGCCACCUCAUCAGCCUGUUUCACAUUCCUUCAGGGACAAAGCAGAAUGGAAGAUUAAAGGCUGUGACAGUCGCUAAAGAACGCCACAGCUCACUGUAUAUUUCCUCUUCCCAGACCACAGACUCAGCCAUUUAUUUCUGUACUGUGGAGCCACAGUGCUCCCCAGGCACCUGCAACCUGUACACAAACCCUCAGCUGGGCUCAGCUCCUCCUCCAACCACAAUCACAUCACAAGACCACCACACAGCAUUUCUGCAGCUUAAUAUUCCUAACCCACGUUGGUGGGAUGUUAACCACAGAUACUUCUUGGCCCUACAGGUUUGGGAUUUGGUUUUUAUCUUUCCUUCUCAAUCUACACCUCUUUCUGUACUAUAAACCUUUAGCUUGGAACUAGCAGAGUAGUUGACAAGAGGACAGAACUAAAAUAAAUAUUUAAGCAACAGUAUGCUGGACUCUA